AUUGAGCGCUGGCGGCAUGCUUUACACAUGCAAGUCGAACGGUAACAGGCCGCAAGGUGCUGACGAGUGGCGAACGGGUGAGUAAUGCAUCGGAACGUGCCCAGUCGUGGGGGAUAACUACUCGAAAGAGUAGCUAAUACCGCAUACGAUCUAUGGAUGAAAGCGGGGGACCGUAAGGCCUCGCGCGAUUGGAGCGGCCGAUGUCAGAUUAGGUAGUUGGUGGGGUAAAGGCUCACCAAGCCAACGAUCUGUAGCUGGUCUGAGAGGACGACCAGCCACACUGGGACUGAGACACGGCCCAGACUCCUACGCGAGGCAGCAGUGGGGAAUUUUGGACGAUGGGCGCAAGCCUGAUCCAGCACUGCCGCGUGCAGGAAGAAGGCCUUCGGGUUGUAAACUGCUUUUGUACGGAACGAAACGGCUCUGGUUAAUACCCGGGGCUAAUGACGGUACCGUAAGAAUAAGCACCGGCUAACUACGUG
rnacentral:rRNA from 1 species